CGCGGAGCAGAGCAGCUGGCAGCUCGUCGGGCUCAUAGCCCGGAGAUCACAGGUUCGAAUCCUGUCUCCGCAA
rfam:Aerococcus christensenii strain CCTG28831, complete genome.